rnacentral:rRNA from 1 species
CAGUAGCCGCGGUAAUACGGAGGGGGCUAGCGUUGUUCGGAAUUACUGGGCGUAAAGCGCACGUAGGCGGCUUGGUAAGUUAGAGGUGAAAGCCCAGGGCUCAACCCUGGAAUUGCCUUUAAGACUGCCGAGCUAGUAGGUGAGAGAGGUAAGUGGAAUUCCGAGUGUAGAGGUGAAAUUCGUAGAUAUUCGGAAGAACACCAGUGGCGAAGGCGGCUUACUGGCUCAUUCUAGACGCUGAGGUGCGAAAGCGUGGGGAGCAAACAGGAUUAGAUACCCGCGUAGUCCCUGUCUCUUAUAA